AUUGAACGCUGGCGGCAGGCCUAACACAUGCAAGUCGAGCGGAGUGGCGAACGGGUGAGUAACACGUGGGUGACCUGCCCUGCACUUCGGGAUAAGCCUGGGAAACUGGGUCUAAUACCGGAUAGUGUGGGAUGGGCCCGCGGCCUAUCAGCUUGUUGGUGGGGUAAUGGCCUACCACGGCGGCGACGGGUAGCCGGCCUGAGAGGGGGGACGGCCACAAUGGGACUGAGACACGACCCAGACUCCUACGGGAGGCAGCAGUUGGGAUUAUUGCGCAAUGGGCGGAAGCCUGAUGCAGCGACGUCGCGUGGGGGAUGACGGCCUUCGGGUUGUAAACUCCUUUCACCAUCGACGCGGUAGAUGGAGAAGAAGCACCGGCUAACUACGUGCCAGCCGCCGCGGUAAUUC
rnacentral:rRNA from 1 species